GACGAACGCUGGCGGCGUGCUUAACACAUGCAAGUCGAACGGAAAGGCCCUGCUUUUGUGGGGUGCUCGAGUGGCGAACGGGUGAGUAACACGUGAGUAACCUGCCCUUGACUUUGGGAUAACUUCAGGAAACUGGGGCUAAUACCGGAUAGGAGCUCCUGCUGCAUGGUGGGGGUUGGAAAGUUUCGGCGGUUGGGGAUGGACUCGCGGCUUAUCAGCUUGUUGGUGGGGUAGUGGCUUACCAAGGCUUUGACGGGUAGCCGGCCUGGGAGGGUGACCGGCCACAUUGGGACUGAGAUACGGCCCAGACUCCUACGGGAGGCAGCAGUGGGGAAUAUUGCACAAUGGGCGGAAGCCUGAUGCAGCAACGCCGCGUGCGGGAUGACGGCCUUCGGGUUGUAAACCGCUUUCGCCUGUGACGAAGCGUGAGUGACGGUAAUGGGUAAAGAAGCAACGGCUAACUACGU
rnacentral:rRNA from 1 species